rnacentral:rRNA from 1 species
UUAAGCGACUAAGCGUACACGGUGGAUGCCCUGGCAGUCAGAGGCGAUGAAGGACGUGCUAAUCUGCGAUAAGCGUCGGUAAGGUGAUAUGAACCGUUAUAACCGGCGAUUUCCGAAUGGGGAAACCCAGUGUGUUUCGACACACUAUCAUUAACUGAAUCCAUAGGUUAAUGAGGCGAACCGGGGGAACUGAAACAUCUAAGUACCCCGAGGAAAAGAAAUCAACCGAGAUUCCCCCAGUAGCGGCGAGCGAACGGGGAGCAGCCCAGAGCCUGAAUCAGUGUGUGUGUUAGUGGAAGCGUCUGGAAAGGCGUGCGAUACAGGGUGACAGCCCCGUACACAAAAAUGCACAUACUGUGAGCUCGAUGAGUAGGGCGGGACACGUGGUAUCCUGUCUGAAUAUGGGGGGACCAUCCUCCAAGGCUAAAUACUCCUGACUGACCGAUAGUGAACCAGUACCGUGAGGGAAAGGCGAAAAGAACCCCGGCGAGGGGAGUGAAAAAGAACCUGAAACCGUGUACGUACAAGCAGUGGGAGCACGCUUAGGCGUGUGACUGCGUACCUUUUGUAUAAUGGGUCAGCGACUUAUAUUCUGUAGCAAGGUUAACCGAAUAGGGGAGCCGAAGGGAAACCGAGUCUUAACUGGGCGUUAAGUUGCAGGGUAUAGACCCGAAACCCGGUGAUCUAGCCAUGGGCAGGUUGAAGGUUGGGUAACACUAACUGGAGGACCGAACCGACUAAUGUUGAAAAAUUAGCGGAUGACUUGUGGCUGGGGGUGAAAGGCCAAUCAAACCGGGAGAUAGCUGGUUCUCCCCGAAAGCUAUUUAGGUAGCGCCUCGUGAAUUCAUCUCCGGGGGUAGAGCACUGUUUCGGCAAGGGGGUCAUCCCGACUUACCAACCCGAUGCAAACUGCGAAUACCGGAGAAUGUUAUCACGGGAGACACACGGCGGGUGCUAACGUCCGUCGUGAAGAGGGAAACAACCCAGACCGCCAGCUAAGGUCCCAAAGUCAUGGUUAAGUGGGAAACGAUGUGGGAAGGCCCAGACAGCCAGGAUGUUGGCUUAGAAGCAGCCAUCAUUUAAAGAAAGCGUAAUAGCUCACUGGUCGAGUCGGCCUGCGCGGAAGAUGUAACGGGGCUAAACCAUGCACCGAAGCUGCGGCAGCGACGCUGAUGCGUUGUUGGGUAGGGGAGCGUUCUGUAAGCCUGUGAAGGUGUGCUGUGAGGCAUGCUGGAGGUAUCAGAAGUGCGAAUGCUGACAUAAGUAACGAUAAAGCGGGUGAAAAGCCCGCUCGCCGGAAGACCAAGGGUUCCUGUCCAACGUUAAUCGGGGCAGGGUGAGUCGACCCCUAAGGCGAGGCCGAAAGGCGUAGUCGAUGGGAAACAGGUUAAUAUUCCUGUACUUGGUGUUACUGCGAAGGGGGGACGGAGAAGGCUAUGUUGGCCGGGCGACGGUUGUCCCGGUUUAAGCGUGUAGGCUGGUUUUCCAGGCAAAUCCGGAAAAUCAAGGCUGAGGCGUGAUGACGAGGCACUACGGUGCUGAAGCAACAAAUGCCCUGCUUCCAGGAAAAGCCUCUAAGCAUCAGGUAACAUCAAAUCGUACCCCAAACCGACACAGGUGGUCAGGUAGAGAAUACCAAGGCGCUUGAGAGAACUCGGGUGAAGGAACUAGGCAAAAUGGUGCCGUAACUUCGGGAGAAGGCACGCUGAUAUGUAGGUGAAGCGACUUGCUCGUGGAGCUGAAAUCAGUCGAAGAUACCAGCUGGCUGCAACUGUUUAUUAAAAACACAGCACUGUGCAAACACGAAAGUGGACGUAUACGGUGUGACGCCUGCCCGGUGCCGGAAGGUUAAUUGAUGGGGUCAGCGCAAGCGAAGCUCUUGAUCGAAGCCCCGGUAAACGGCGGCCGUAACUAUAACGGUCCUAAGGUAGCGAAAUUCCUUGUCGGGUAAGUUCCGACCUGCACGAAUGGCGUAAUGAUGGCCAGGCUGUCUCCACCCGAGACUCAGUGAAAUUGAACUCGCUGUGAAGAUGCAGUGUACCCGCGGCAAGACGGAAAGACCCCGUGAACCUUUACUAUAGCUUGACACUGAACAUUGAGCCUUGAUGUGUAGGAUAGGUGGGAGGCUUGGAAGUGUGGACGCCAGUCUGCAUGGAGCCGACCUUGAAAUACCACCCUUUAAUGUUUGAUGUUCUAACGUUGACCCGUAAUCCGGGUUGCGGACAGUGUCUGGUGGGUAGUUUGACUGGGGCGGUCUCCUCCUAAAGAGUAACGGAGGAGCACGAAGGUUGGCUAAUCCUGGUCGGACAUCAGGAGGUUAGUGCAAUGGCAUAAGCCAGCUUGACUGCGAGCGUGACGGCGCGAGCAGGUGCGAAAGCAGGUCAUAGUGAUCCGGUGGUUCUGAAUGGAAGGGCCAUCGCUCAACGGAUAAAAGGUACUCCGGGGAUAACAGGCUGAUACCGCCCAAGAGUUCAUAUCGACGGCGGUGUUUGGCACCUCGAUGUCGGCUCAUCACAUCCUGGGGCUGAAGUAGGUCCCAAGGGUAUGGCUGUUCGCCAUUUAAAGUGGUACGCGAGCUGGGUUUAGAACGUCGUGAGACAGUUCGGUCCCUAUCUGCCGUGGGCGCUGGAGAACUGAGGGGGGCUGCUCCUAGUACGAGAGGACCGGAGUGGACGCAUCACUGGUGUUCGGGUUGUCAUGCCAAUGGCACUGCCCGGUAGCUAAAUGCGGAAGAGAUAAGUGCUGAAAGCAUCUAAGCACGAAACUUGCCCCGAGAUGAGUUCUCCCUGACCCUUUAAGGGUCCUGAAGGAACGUUGAAGACGACGACGUUGAUAGGCCGGGUGUGUAAGCGCAGCGAUGCGUUGAGCUAACCGGUACUAAUGAACCGUGAGGCUUAACCUU